rnacentral:rRNA from 1 species
AGAGUUUGAUCCUGGCUCAGGACGAACGCUGGCGGCGUGCUUAACACAUGCAAGUCGAACGGUGAAGUCCCUUCGGGGGCGGAUCAGUGGCGAACGGGUGAGUAACACGUGGGCAAUCUGCCCCUCACUGUGGGAUAACUCCGGGAAACCGGGGCUAAUACCGCAUAUGAAGCCUGGCGGCAUCGCCGGGUUUGGAAAGUUUUUCGGUGAGGGAUGAGCCCGCGGCCUAUCAGCUUGUUGGUGAGGUAAUGGCUCACCAAGGCGACGACGGGUAGCCGGCCUGAGAGGGCGACCGGCCACACUGGGACUGAGACACGGCCCAGACUCCUACGGGAGGCAGCAGUGGGGAAUAUUGGGCAAUGGGCGAAAGCCUGACCCAGCGACGCCGCGUGCGGGAUGAAGGCCUUCGGGUUGUAAACCGCUUUCAGCAGGGAAGAAG